rnacentral:rRNA from 1 species
UCUAUACAUGCAGUCGAGCGAGCCGAACUAAUUGAUUACCUUCGGGUAUGAAGUUAGGGAAGCGAGCGGCGGAUGGGUGAGUAACACGUGGGUAACCUACCCUAUAGUCUGGGAUACCACUUGGAAACAGGUGCUAAUACCGGAUAAAAGGAGAGAUCACAUGAUUUCUUUUUGAAAGGCGGCGUAAGCUGUCGCUAAAGGAUGGACCCGCGGUGCAUUAGCUAGUUGGUAAGGUAACGGCUUACCAAGGCAACGAUGCAUAGCCGAGUUGAGAGACUGAUCGGCCACAUUGGGACUGAGACACGGCCCAAACUCCUACGGGAGGCAGCAGUAGGGAAUCUUCCACAAUGGACGCAAGUCUGAUGGAGCAACGCCGCGUGAGUGAAGAAGGUUUUCGGAUCGUAAAGCUCUGUUGUUGGUGAAGAAAGAUAGUGAGAGUAACUGCUCAUUAUUUGCCGGUAAUCAACCAGAAAGUCACGGCUAACUACGUGCCAGCAGCCGCGGUAAUACGUAGGUGGCAAGCGUUGUCCGGAUUUAUUGGGCAUAAAGCGAGCGCAGGCGGAAAGAUAAGUCAGAUGUGAAAGCCCUCGGCUUAACCGAGGAAUAGCAUCGGAAACUGUCUUUCUUGAGUGCAGAAGAGGAGAGUGGAACUCCAUGUGUAGCGGUGGAAUGCGUAGAUAUAUGGAAGAACACCAGUGGCGAAGGCGGCUCUCUGGUCUGUAACUGACGCUGAGGCU